UAUUAACUCUGGCGGCGUGCCUAAUACAUGCAAGUCGAGCGAACGGACGAGAAGCUUGCUUCUCUGAUGUUAGCGGCGGACGGGUGAGUAACACGUGGAUAACCUACCUAUAAGACUGGGAUAACUUCGGGAAACCGGAGCUAAUACCGGAUAAUAUUUUGAACCGCAUGGUUCAAAAGUGAAAGACGGUCUUGCUGUCACUUAUAGAUGGAUCCGCGCUGCAUUAGCUAGUUGGUAAGGUAACGGCUUACCAAGGCAAAGAUGCAUAGCCGACCUGAGAGGGUGAUCGGCCACACUGGAACUGAGACACGGUCCAGACUCCUACGGGAGGCAGCAGUAGGGAAUCUUCCGCAAUGGGCGAAAGCCUGACGGAGCAACGCCGCGUGAGUGAUGAAGGUCUUCGGAUCGUAAAACUCUGUUAUUAGGGAAGAACAUAUGUGUAAGUAACUGUGCACAUCUUGACGGUACCUAAUCAGAAAGCCACGGCUAACUACGUG
rnacentral:rRNA from 1 species